UCCCCAACUAUGAUACUCAGCUAAAGAGGAUGAAGCUCAUUUGCCAUGUGCAGUACAACGCCCCUGCUCCUGCCCCUCCGAUAGACUUCUAUUUCUACAAAAAUAACAGGCGACUGGGACCUGCAACCUCUGACAACUAUAAUGUAGUGAAACAGACUCCAGGGCUGUACAGCUGCAAGGCCAGGGUGCCUCAGUUGGGCCUCUCGAAGUCCAGUGAACCCAAAAACUUUGGACAAAUAAGAGUUGCACAGCCUCAGAGGCCAACUCAUCUCUGACCCAACAGAACCUGAGAAGAUGCCACCUCUUCAUCCUGGACUCCAAAGGCCAGUAUUUCGCCUUGCUUCAGCCACAGAUGACUUCCCACCUGCUGCUGCUUCAUUACCAACCUCCCCUAACCUCUCCUCUCACCAGCCGAUUCAGUUCACUCCAGUAAAGAGCACACCAUCACAAGCGCCUCCACUGAAGACUUCAUAAGCAGUCCCAACCAGUUUGCUGACUACAGACCAGGAUUUUAACUCAGCUACAACUC